AUUGAACGCUGGCGGCAUGCCUUACACAUGCAAGUCGAACGGUAACAGGUUAAGCUGACGAGUGGCGAACGGGUGAGUAAUGUAUCGGAACGUGCCCAGUCGUGGGGGAUAACUACUCGAAAGAGUGGCUAAUACCGCAUACGACCUGAGGGUGAAAGCGGGGGACCGUAAGGCCUCGCGCCAUUGGAGCGGCGGAUAUCAGAUUAGGUAGUUGGUGGGGUAAACGCCCACCAAGGCGCGGAUCUGUAGCUGGUCUGAGAGGACGAGCAGCCAGACUGGGACUGGGACACGGCCCAGACUCCUACGGGAGGCAGCAGUGGGGAAUUUUGGACAAUGAACGCAAGUCUGAUUCAGCCAUGCCGCGUGCGGGAAGAAGGCCUUCGGGUUGUAAACCGCUUUUGUCAGGGAAGAAACGAGUUUCUCUAAUACAGAGACUUAAUGACGGUACCUGAAGAAUAAGCACCGGCUAACUACGUGCCAGCCGCCGCAGUAAGAC
rnacentral:rRNA from 1 species